CCUACGGGAGGCAGCAGUAGGGAAUUUUCGGCAAUGGGCGGAAGCCUGACCGAGCAACGCCGCGUGAACGAAGAAGGUAUUCGGAAUGUAAAGUUCUUUUAACAGGGAAGAAAGAGAAAUUUGACGGUACCGGAUGAAUAAGCUUCGGCUAACUACGUACCAGCAGCCGCGGUAAUACGUAGGGAGCGAGCGUUAUCCGGAAUUAUUGGGCGUAAAGGGUGCGUAGAUGGCAUAGUAAGUCUUUUGUAAAAAUGCUGGGCUCAACCCAGUAGGGCAAAUGAUACUGGAAAGCUAGAGUAUGAGAGAGGCAAGUGGAAUUACAGGUGUAGCGGUAAAAUGCGUAAAUAUAUGUAAGAACACCAGUGGCGAAGGCGGCUUGCUGGGUCGAUACUGACGCUGAGGCACGAAAGCGUGGGGAGCAAACAGGAUUAGAUACCCCAGUAGUC
rnacentral:rRNA from 1 species